UACGAAGGGGGGCUAGCGUUGUUCGGAAUUACUGGGCGUAAAGCGCACGUAGGCGGAAUGUUAAGUCAGGGGUGAAAUCCCGGGCUCAACCCCGGAACUGCCUUUGAUACUGGCAUUCUCGAGUCCGGAAGAGGUGAGUGGAAUUCCGAGUGUAGAGGUGAAAUUCGUAGAUAUUCGGAGGAACACCAGUGGCGAAGGCGGCUCACUGGCCCGGUACUGACGCUGAGGUGCGAAAGCGUGGGGAGCAAACAGG
rnacentral:rRNA from 1 species